rnacentral:rRNA from 1 species
AGUGAACGCUGGCGGCAGGCCUAAUACAUGCAAGUCGAACGGCAGCACAGCAGAGCUUGCUCUGUGGGUGGCGAGUGGCGGACGGGUGAGGAAUACAUGGGAAUCUGCCCAGUCGUGGGGGAUAACGUAUGGAAACGUACGCUAAUACCGCAUGCGCCCUACGGGGGAAAGCCGGGGACCGCAAGGCCUGGCGCGAUUGGAUGAGCCCAUGUUCGAUUAGCUAGUUGGCGGGGUAAAGGCCCACCAAGGCGACGAUCGAUAGCUGGUCUGAGAGGAUGAUCAGCCACACUGGAACUGAGACACGGUCCAGACUCCUACGGGAGGCAGCAGUGGGGAAUUUUGGACAAUGGGGGCAACCCUGAUCCAGCCAUGCCGCGUGAGUGAAGAAGGCCCUCGGGUUGUAAAGCUCUUUUGUCCGGAAAGAAAAGCAUUCGGUUAAUACCCGGGUGUUCUGACGGUACCGGAAGAAUAAGCACCGGCUAACUUCGUGCCAGCAGCC